rnacentral:sRNA from 1 species
GCCAGGUGUGGUAGCACAUGCCUGUAAUCCCAGCAGCCAGGAGGCUGAGACAGGAAGAUCUCAAGUUCAAGCACAGUCUCAGCAACUUAAUGGGACCCUGUCUCAA